UCCGAUUAGCUAGUUGGUGAGGUAAUGGCUCACCAAGGCGACGAUCGGUAGCUGGUCUGAGAGGAUGAUCAGCCACAUUGGGACUGAGACACGGCCCAAACUCCUACGGGAGGCAGCAGUGGGGAAUAUUGGACAAUGGGCGCAAGCCUGAUCCAGCCAUGCCGCGUGAGUGAUGACGGCCCUAGGGUUGUAAAGCUCUUUCCCCACGACGAUAUGACGGUAGUGGGAGAAGAAGCCCCGGCUAACUUCGUGCCAGCAGCCGCGGUAAUACGAAGGGGGCUAGCGUUGUUCGGAUUUACUGGGCGUAAAGCGCGCGUAGGCGGAUCUUUAAGUCAGGGGUGAAAUGCCGGAGCUCAACUUCGGAACUGCCUUUGAUACUGGAGAUCUUGAGUUCGGGAGAGGUGAGUGGAACUGCGAGUGUAGAGGUGAAAUUCGUAGAUAUUCGCAAGAACACCAGUGGCGAAGGCGGCUCACUGGCCCGAUACUGACGCUGAGGCGCGAAAGCGUGGGGAGCAAAUAGGAUUAGAUACCCUGGUAGUCCACGCCGUUAACGAUGGAUGCUAGCCGUUAGGCAGCUUGCUGCUUAGUGGCGCAGCUAGCGCUUUAAGCAUCCCGCCUGGGGAGUACCGGUCGCAGA
rnacentral:rRNA from 1 species